UAACCUGGUCUCAUUUUACAUCAAUUCACUUAAAGUCCCAGUUUCCAACAACCUGCUAAAGACUUGAAGUUCCUGGGUCCACUGUGAAUGAAAGACAAUUCAGCUUGGCAUCAUCAUCAUUAUCUCCACCACCAGCACUGUCAUCAUUAUAAUAACCCAAGCUAACAUUACUGAAAGCUUUCUCCAUGCCAGAAACUGGAACACAUAUAUUAAAUGGAACAAAUAUAAGAAAAAACAGUGCCCUGGAUCCUAUCAAAGAACAGCAUUUUAUGAGUGAAUUUACUUGCAAGUGAAGCAUGGAAUAGAUCUUAAAAGCACAGAAAUUCACAGCUGCCUAGAUCUAUUUUGGAAUAGGACUGUGUCCUUACAAGACAUGGUAAUGUGGUUAACUCACUUAGGGCUUCAAAACCUGGUUUCCUCAUCCGUAAAGUGAACAUAAGAACUGCUUCACAGAGCAAUUUUAUGGAUUAAAUGAGAUCAUAUGGAGGCAAAGCACUUGGUACAGCUCCCAGGAUAUAACUUCAAUAAAUGUGCACAUCACCAUCACCCCCUCAUCUUUGCAAUAUUUUUGAUCAGCAGCAGUGACAGACAAGAUGUCUGCUAGAAGUUGAAAAUAUAACUACAAACAAACAGCACCCCUGCCCUCAGGAAUCUUCAGUUUAGGUUAAUUUCCUAGUAAAAAUUAGUAAAAACAACUCUAUCUCAUUGUGAUGAAUUGAAAAAUUAGGGAGUUGAUUUAUAUUCCUCAUUGAGGGUUGAGAUAUACAGAACACAAGGAGAGAUAGAGAGAGAGGCAUAGGUGU